CGCCCCGAGGCGCGAGUUGCGCACUAGGUGCAGAACAGCCCUAGCAACCCGAGGGUGGCUACCUCUGUGGGACGCGAAGUGCGCGUGCGAUCGCGACCCCAGACGCCCAAUAUGGGAUCUGAGGCUGACUUCCUCUAAGGCGGGUUCCCAGGUGGCUUCUUCCUUCCUGCAGUACACGUGCUGCAAGGGUGGUGCUCUGUAGCAGCUUCAAGAAGUUCUUACUGCCACCUCCGUAGGAUGAAGUAUAUUCGAUGCGCCCCGCACAGAGACAGGAUUUCUCUAUUUGUCUCUGGCUGGCCUGGAACUCAGUAUGGCUUCACCUGCCACCGCAUCUCCGGGCCCAGGAUGGAAGUGUUCUACAUGCAUGUAUGCCAGCAGGCCAGAAGAGGGCACCAGAUCUC